GAUGAAGAACGCAGCGAAAUGCGAUAAGUAAUGUGAAUUGCAGAAUUCAGUGAAUCAUCGAAUCUUUGAACGCACAUUGCGCCCGCCAGUAUUCUGGCGGGCAUGCCUGUCCGAGCGUCAUUUCAACCCUCGAACCCCUCCGGGGGGUCGGCGUUGGGGAUCGGCCCUUUACCGGCCGGCCCCGAAAUACAGUGGCGGUCUCGCCGCAGCCUCUCCUGCGCAGUAGUUUGCACACUCGCACCGGGAGCGCGGCGCAGUCCAAUGCCGUAAAACACCCAACUUUCUGAAAUGUUGACCUCGGAUCAGGUAGGAAUACCCGCUGAACUUAAGCAUAUCAAUAACGGAGGA
rnacentral:misc_RNA from 1 species